UUUCUAAGUGUCAAGUUCAGUUCAGGACAGCUUCCCUGUUCUGCUUAUUAAACUUUGGGGCACAUUGAAACACAAACGAGGGGAGAUAAUUGGAUAGAAAGUAUUACGCUUUUUAUCUCCCAAUAUAUAGAA
rfam:Erinaceus europaeus unplaced genomic scaffold scaffold00138, whole genome shotgun sequence